GAGCGGCCGCCUGUGCAGGAGACCAGGCUGUGAGGAAGAAAGGAGUGGCUGAUGUCCUGUGAGACGUCUUCUCAGGACUGAAGCCCAACCUUACAGUUAGGAGUUUUUAAACUUCCCACAGUGAGGCCAGGAGCUAAAGUGAUGGAAAUAUGCAAAUCAAUGAGUUGAUGGCGUUAUUGGUAUUUUUUCUGACGAAGGUAAAACCACCCUCCGUUCUCCCCUUCGGCCCUGCCUGUCUGCCACCUUCUCCUACCUGCUCCCCGUCGUCUCUCGCUUUAGUCCUUUUUCCUGGCUCUCUAGAGCCAGACUGCCUGCCUUCAUAUUCGUCUCCGCCACUGAGUGAUUGCAUGACUAAGGAAAUGGCUAACUUGUGUACCUCUCUCCUUUUUUCUUUUUUUUUGGUGAGGAAGAUUGGCCCUGAGCUAACAUCUGUGCCAGUGUUCCUCUAUUUUGUAUGUGGGACACCUCCACAGCGUGGCUGCCAAGGAGUGGUGCUAGGUUGGCACCUGGGAUCAGAACCGUGAACCCCGGGCCACCUAAACCGUUCUUCUAGUUGUGGUAUGUGGGACGCUGCCUCAGCAUGGUCUGACGAGCAGUGCCAUGUCCGUGCCCAGGAUUCGAACCAACGAAACACUGGGAUGCCUGCAGCGGAGCGCGCGAACUUAACCACUCAGCCGCGGGGCCAGCCCCCUUUAGUGACCAUUUUUAAAGUGAUAACUCUAGUAUUUAAAAGGUACCCGUAUGUCCAUAGUGAUAUUGUGAAGUGUACACAUACCAACUCACAGAUUUGUUUUUCAAGCAAUGCUAGGACUUAGUAGGAGAAAGUAAUGUUCCAGUUCUUUACUGGAGAGAGAAGCUGGUAUUUGAGAGAGUGAAGAGGGAUGGGCAAAACCACAAUGAGAUACCACUUCACAUCCACAAGGAUGGCUAUAAUCAAAAAAGUAGAAAAUAACAAGUGUUAAUGGGGAUAUGGAGAAAUUGGCACUCUCAUCCAUUGCUGGCAGAAAUGUAAGAUGGUGCCUCCACUGUAGAAGAUAGUUUGGCAGUCUGAAAAACUUAAACAUAGAAUUACCUUAUGACCCAGUAAUUCCACUGCUAGCUGUACACCUUGUAUGUGAAUGUUCACAGCGGUACUAUUCACAAUAACAGGAAGGUGGAAAGCACCCAAACGUCCAUCAACAGAUGAAUGGAUAAACAAAAUGUGGUAUGACCAUACAAUGGAAUAUUAUUUAUCAAUAGAAAGAAAUGAAAUGCUAUCCAUGCUGCAAUAUGAAUGAACCUUGGAAACAUUAUACUAAGUGAAAGAAACCAGUCACAAAAAGACCUCAUAUUGUAUGAUUACAUUUAUUUGAAAUAUUUAGAAUAGGCAAGUCUAUGGAGACUAGACUCGCAGUUGCUUGGAGCUGAGACGCACGGGAGAGGGGUAUAGAUGAGUGACGGCUAAAGAGUGUGGGGUUUCUUUUUCAGCUGAUAAAGAUGUUCUAAAACUGAUGAUGAUUGCACAUAUCUGGAAUAUACUAAAAACUAUUGAACUGGUCACUUUAAAUGGAUGAAUUGUAAAUCAGUGAAUUAUGUCUCCAUAAAGCUGUUAAAAGAUUUUAAAAAGAGUGAUGGGAAACAUUCUUUUCAAGUCCUGUAAAUAUAUACAUGUAGUUAUAUAGACAUACUGCAAUGUUAUUAGGGAAAAGUAAUAAGCAAUAUGGCUUAAAUUUAUUUUUAAUAAUCUGUAAUUAAAAAUACGUAAAAUACAGGGCUGGCCCAGUAGCGUGGCGGUUAAGUUCUCACAAUUUGCUUCUGCGCUGGGCUUUGCCAGUGCAAAUCCUGGGCGUGGACCUACGCACCACUUAUAAAGCCAUGCUUUGGCAAGCAUCCCACAUAUAAAAGUAGAGAAAGAUGGGCAUGGAUGUUAGCUCAGGGCCAAUCUUCCUAAAAAAAAAAAAAAGUAAGGUACUUUAACUACAGAUUUGAUCAUCUUCAACAAACGUUUCCAUGCCUCUUUUAUGCCUGAUGAUGUAAUUUGUGCUGUAAAGGACACAACCGUUUUCGUAUUCAUUCAGCAAAUAUUUAUUGAGCGCCUACCAUGUUACAGGUACCAUUGUAAGGAUUGGUGAUCCCUGUCCUCAUGAAGCUUAUUUUCUAGUGAGAGCAAAGAACGAAAUUAGCAUUCUGAAAGAUGUGAGGUGAUAUCUCAUUGUGGUUUUGAUUUGCAAUUACCCGAAGAUUAAUGACAUUGAGCAUCUUUUCAUGUACCUGUUGGCCGUCUGUAUGUCAUCUUUGGAAAAAUGUCUAUUCGGAUCCUCUGCCCAUUUCUUAAUUGGAUUGUUUGUUGUUUUGUUAUUGAGUUGUAUGAAUUCUUUAUGUGUUUUAGAUAUUAACCUUAUCGGAUAUAUGAUUUGCAAAUAUUUUCUCCUAUUCAGUGGGUUGGCUUUUCAUUUUGUUGAUGAUUUCCUUUUCUGUGCAGAAGCUUUUUAGUUUGGUGUAGUCUCACUUGUUUAUUUUUGCUUUUGUUACCUUUGCUUUUGAAGUCAGAUCCAAAAAAUAAUCACCAAGACCCUCAACAACAAGCUUACUGCCUAUGUUUCC
rnacentral:lncRNA from 1 species